GGUGAACGCUGGCGGCGUGCCUAAUACAUGCAAGUCGAGCGAACGGACGAGAAGCUUGCUUCUCUGAUGUUAGCGGCGGACGGGUGAGUAACACGUGGAUAACCUACCUAUAAGACUGGGAUAACUUCGGGAAACCGGAGCUAAUACCGGAUAAUAUUUUGAACCGCAUGGUUCAAAAGUGAAAGACGGUCUUGCUGUCACUUAUAGAUGGAUCCGCGCUGCAUUAGCUAGUUGGUAAGGUAACGGCUUACCAAGGCAACGAUGCAUAGCCGACCUGAGAGGGUGAUCGGCCACACUGGAACUGGGACACGGUCCAGACUCCUACGGGAGGCAGCAGUAGGGAAUCUUCCGCAAUGGGCGAAAGCCUGACGGAGCAACGCCGCGUGAGUGAUGAAGGUCUUCGGAUCGUAAAACUCUGUUAUUAGGGAAGAACAUAUGUGUAAGUAACUGUGCACAUCUUGACGGUACCUAAUCAGAAAGCCACGGCUAACUACGUG
rnacentral:rRNA from 1 species